AUUGAACGCUGGCGGCAGGCUUAACACAUGCAAGUCGAGCGGGGGGAGGUAGCUUGCUACCGGACCUAGCGGCGGACGGGUGAGUAAUGCUUAGGAAUCUGCCUAUUAGUGGGGGACAACAUCUCGAAAGGGAUGCUAAUACCGCAUACGUCCUACGGGAGAAAGCAGGGGAUCUUCGGACCUUGCGCUAAUAGAUGAGCCUAAGUCGGAUUAGCUAGUUGGGGGGGUAAAGGCCUACCAAGGCGACGAUCUGUAGCGGGUCUGAGAGGAUGAUACGCCACACUGGGACUGAGACACGGCCCAGACUCCUACGGGAGGCAGCAGUGGGGAAUAUUGGACAAUGGGGGGAACCCUGAUCCAGCCAUGUCGCGUGUGUGAAGAAGGCCUUAUGGUUGUAAAGCACUUUAAGCGAGGAGGAGGCUACUUUAGUUAAUACCUAGAGAUAGUGGACGUUACUCGCAGAAUAAGCACCGGCUAACUCUGUGCCAGCCGCCGCGGUAA
rnacentral:rRNA from 1 species